GUGGAUUAGAUACCCUAGUAGUCCACGCCCUAAACGAUGUCUACUAGUUGUUGGUGGAGUAAAAUCCAUUAGUAACGCAGCUAACGCGUGAAGUAGACCGCCUGGGGAGUACGGUCGCAAGAUUAAAACUCAAAGGAAUUGACGGGGGCCCGCACAAGCGGUGGAUUAUGUGGAUUAAUUCGAUGCAACGCGAAAAACCUUACCUGGCCUUGACAUGCUACUAACGAAGCAGAGAUGCAUUAGGUGCCCGAAAGGGAAAGUAGACACAGGUGCUGCACGGUCGUCGUCAACU
rnacentral:rRNA from 1 species